GUGCUGUCUUUGGCAGCACAUAUGCUGAAGCGCGAAUGAUACAAAGCUUAGCAAGGGCCCCGUGCCAGAAUGACAUCCAAAUUCAUGAAGCGUUCUGUAUUUUG